GAAAUGCGAUACUUGGUGUGAAUUGCAGAAUCCCGUGAACCAUCGAGUCUUUGAACGCAAGUUGCGCCCCAAGCCGUCAGGCCGAGGGCACGCCUGUUCGAGCGUCAUUUAAACCUUCAAGCCCUGCUUGGUGUUGGGUGCCUGUCCCGCCCCCGCGCGUGGACUCACCUCAAAUCCAUUGGCGGCCCCCGCAUGGCCACGAGCGCAGCAGAAACGCAAACUCGUGUGCCGGACCGGGCGGCUCCCAGAAGCUACACUCACCAUUUUGACCUCGGAUCAGGUAGGGAUACCCGCUGAACUUAAGC
rnacentral:misc_RNA from 1 species